GGGUAAGAACCUCACCUAUCUUGAUAUGUAGGUGGGGUUGUGAUAUAUUGUGCCCAGUGGGCCACUUUUGGUAAGCAGAACUGGCGCUGUGGGAUGAACCAAACGCAAUGUUACGGUGCCAAAAUUUACAACUCAUGCAGAUACCAUGAAAGGCGUUGCUUGCUUAAAACAGCAGGACGGUGGACAUGGAAGUCGUAAUCCGCUAAGGAGUGUGUAACAACUCACCUGCCGAAGCAACUAGCCCUUAAAAUGGAUGGCGCUUAAGUUGUAUACCUAUACAUUGCCGCUAAUGUAGAUGGUUUAUAUGCAAUUUCGGUUACAUAUAAAUUUUGAAACAUUAGUGAGUAGGAGGGUACAAUGGUGUGCCUAGAAGUGUUUGG
rnacentral:rRNA from 1 species